CAUCUAUUUGACAGGAUGUAUAGAGAGUUCAUAAAGUAAGUGUUUAUAGAAAUUCCAAAAUGUUUAAAACUAUCUCUUGAUUUUUGAAGGUCACUGUAAUCUAGUCUAUUGGAGAAUGCUAUUGUAGAGUCUUUGGCUAUUGUUACUUAUACCUGCAUAUAUGAAAUCACCACUCCUAAAAACCACGAAUUAGAAGGCUGAUUUGUUUAAAGAAAUACUGUUGUCCAUGAUGGAAGAAGGAUGCUAACUCACAGAGAGAAUGAUGCUGCCUGUGGAACAGAGUCGGAGCUGGCUUUUAUGGAACCUAUUGUCACUUUGAUUAUACACUGUCUAGGACAGGACUGAGGCCCACAUAAUACCAAGCAUACCACAAAUACGAAAAGUGGCAUAGAGGGAAAAAGAGGUCAAAUUAAACUUGCCAGUAAUGAUGUUUCUGGUGAUCUGGCUCAGAAGGCUGAGCUGAUGAGUGAUCACUCAGAAAUACUGAAUCAGGCAAUGGAAAUUCUGAAUCGGUGGGCUCUGGAGAAGGAACUGAGGGCGAGGUGACUCGGGGCCGGAGGGCUAUUAUGGACUAUGGACAAGCUGAAGGCAUGGGAAGCCUGACCAGUAGAUAGAGGAAUAUGAACUUGGUGGACAGGGAAAAGCAGGGACGUCAUGAACGAAAGACCACAGACCCUCUGUUCUAGUCCAUGGGGCCAGGCUGUGCUCCACUGCCUACUCUUGGAUUCCCCAAAGAAUGCUUUAUGUCCUUAUAAUAAAUCCACCUUUCCAUGGACAAAAAU
rnacentral:lncRNA from 1 species